rnacentral:misc_RNA from 1 species
AACACUGUUAACCUGCGGUACCUGCGGAAGGAUCAUUACACAAUAAACAUAUGAAGGCUGCACCGCCAACAGGCGGCAAGGCUGGAGUAUUUUAUUACCCUUGUCUUUUGCGCACUUGUUGUUUCCUGGGCGGGUUCGCCCGCCUCCAGGACCACAUGAUAAACCUUUUUUAUGCAGUUGCAAUCAGCGUCAGUACAACAAAUGUAAAUCAUUUACAACUUUUAACAACGGAUCUCAGAU